rnacentral:rRNA from 1 species
AAGUUAGAAAGGGCGCACGGUGGAUGCCUUGACACUAGGAGUCGAUGAAGGACGGGACUAACGCCGAUAUGCUUCGGGGAGCUGUAAGUAAGCUUUGAUCCGAAGAUUUCCGAAUGGGGAAACCCACCAUACGUAAUGGUAUGGUAUCCUUAUCUGAAUACAUAGGGUAAGGAAGACAGACCCAGGGAACUGAAACAUCUAAGUACCUGGAGGAAGAGAAAGCAAAUGCGAUUUCCUGAGUAGCGGCGAGCGAAACGGAACAUAGCCCAAACCAAGAGGCUUG